rnacentral:rRNA from 1 species
UACGUAGGGUGCGAGCGUUGUCCGGAAUUAUUGGGCGUAAAGAGCUCGUAGGCGGCUUGUCGCGUCGGAUGUGAAAGCCCGGGGCUUAACUCCGGGUCUGCAUUCGAUACGGGCAGGCUAGAGUUCGGUAGGGGAGAUCGGAAUUCCUGGUGUAGCGGUGAAAUGCGCAGAUAUCAGGAGGAACACCGAUGGCGAAGGCAGAUCUCUGGGCAGUAACUGACGCUGAGGAGCGAAAGCGUGGGUAGCAAACAGG